rnacentral:rRNA from 1 species
GAAUAGGCGGGAGAGGCAGGACUUGGUGGCGGCAGCACACUGAAUUGUCAACCAGUGUAAAUAACUGGUGAAGAAAGGGCCGGGCAAGACCGGUGCCAGCCGCCGCGGUAAUACCGGCGGCUCGAGUGGUGGCCGCUAUUACUGGGCUUAAAGGGUCCGUAGCUGGAUAUACAAGUCCCUUGAGAAAUCCGCCGGCUUAACCGGUGGGCGUUCAGGGGAAACUGUAUUUCUAGGGACCGGGAGAGGUGAGAGGUACUGCCGGGGUAGGAGUGAAAUCCUGUAAUCCCGGUGGGACCACCUAUGGCGAAGGCAUCUCACCAGAACGGGUCCGACAGUGAGGGACGAAAGCUGGGGGAGCAAACCGGAUUAGAUACCCGGGUAGUCCCAGCUGUAAACGAUGCGCGUUAGGUGUGUCAGUGACCACGUGUCACUGAGGUGCCGAAGGGAAACCGUGAAACGCGCCGCCUGGGGAGUACGGUCGCAAGGCUGAAACUUAAAGGAAUUGGCG